UUAGAAGGUUAAUUAUAAUUAGAGUUUAGAAGAUGCAUAUCAUCUCUUUCUCCUCCUUUCGCAAUUUCCUCAUCAUGCUUGCGUUAAUUUUCAGUGUUAUUUUCUUAUUGCACUCAACUGGGGUUAAUGCAGAUGCCGAGAUAGAGAUUAUGAAAAAAUUGGGUCUCAUAGAAAGACAGAGAGAUUUGCCACCUCCUCCACCAGAAUUUGCUGAUUCACCACAACCAGCACUAUAGAAAUUCUAUAAUAUGGGACUGUUUGAUGAACAAAAUAAAGGAGUUGAAUAAAUUGUACUUAAGAAAAAAAUUAUAAGGUGUUCUAUAUAUGUCUCUUUAAGCUCC